rnacentral:rRNA from 1 species
GAGUUUGAUCCUGGCUCAGGACGAACGCUGGCGGCGUGCCUAACACAUGCAAGUCGAACGGAGAACUCAAAAAGCUUGCUUUGAGAGUUCUUAGUGGCGGACGGGUGAGUAACGCGUGGGCAACCUCCCCCUUAAACCGGGACAACCCUUGGAAACGAGGGCUAAUACCGGAUACACUUUUCUGAGGACAUCCUCGGGAAAGGAAAGGCGGCCUCUGAAGAUGCUGCCGAUAAGGGAUGGACCCGCGUCUGAUUAGCUGGUUGGUGGGGUAAAGGCCUACCAAGGCGACGAUCAGUAGCCGGCCUGAGAGGGUGAACGGCCACACUGGGACUGAGACACGGCCCAGACUCCUACGGGAGGCAGCAGUGGGGAAUCUUCCGCAAUGGACGAAAGUCUGACGGAGCAACGCCGCGUGUAUGACGAAGGCCUUCGGGUUGUAAAGUACUGUCUUUAGGGACGAACGGUAUCUAUGUGAACAAUGUAGGUACAUGACGGUACCUAAGGAGGAAGCCCCGGCUAACUACGUGCCAGCAGCCGCGGUAAUACGUAGGGGGCGAGCGUUGUCCGGAAUCAUUGGGCGUAAAGGGCGCGUAGGCGGAUUUUUAAGUCUGGUGUGAAAACUUGGGGCUCAACCCCAAGCCUGCAUCGGAAACUGGGAAUCUUGAGGACAGGAGAGGAAAGUGGAAUUCCACGUGUAGCGGUGAAAUGCGUAGAGAUGU